CUGACUAGCUAGCUAGCUAGCUACUCCACUCGCAUGUUAUUGGAACAAGAUAGGGUUUUCUGAUUUUUUUUCAGGAAAUAUUGCUAAGAUGCCUGCUUUACCUCUGCUGACGGUGCCAACUCAAAUCCUGGAGCAAAUUCACAUCACAGCUUCAUGUUCUCUCUGUGUGAGGCAGAGUGAGCAGCGGAGAGGAGAGAGCACAUCUGAGUCUUGUGGUAACAGCAGGACCACGUACCACUUGGCCGAGAGAUCGAUGCAUUCAUGCCAAGCCACACAGGAAGGGUGAGCGGCCCGUAGGACGUCCG